rnacentral:rRNA from 1 species
AAGAGACAGCAGUCGCCGCGGGAAUACCGAGGGUGCGAGCGUUAAUCGGAUUUACUGGGCGUAAAGCGUGCGUAGGCGGCUUCUUAAGUCGGAUGUGAAAUCCCUGAGCUUAACUUAGGAAUUGCAUUCGAUACUGGGAAGCUAGAGUAUGGGAGAGGAUGGUAGAAUUCCAGGUGUAGCGGUGAAAUGCGUAGAGAUCUGGAGGAAUACCGAUGGCGAAGGCAGCCAUCUGGCCUAAUACUGACGCUGAGGUACGAAAGCAUGGGGAGCAAACAGGAUUAGAUACCCGGGUAGUCCCUGUCUCUUAUAC